ACCGAUUUGGUCCUAGUCCUUCCCUCAACUUUCUCCAGGAUGAUACAUGCAAACCCCUAAGUUCUACGGUGAGCUCAAUCUGCUUCUGGCCUCUUCCAAGACACCAGGACACUAAAAAUAGCAUCAGGCACCAUUCCUCGUAGCCCAAGACGCUAAGGCCUACCCAAACAAAGAUAGCCCACACCUGCAAGUACUUGACAUUACACAAUAAGCGCUAGCUUGAUGCAGCCGUAGAGAAAAAAACCGGUAAAUUAUGUGCCAGCCACCGCGGUUAUACAUAAGAUUUUAGUUGAGGGCCUCGGUAAAAAGGUGAUAAAAAUGCACCAGAGUCCUCGCCCCCUCAAGCAGUAAUAAGCUAACAGGACCCUAAGAACUAUUCCACCAAACCCUGCCCUACCCAAACCCUUGAUAUUUAUCACCAAAGCUCAAAGAUAAACUGGGAUUAGAUACCCCAUUAUAUGAGCCCUAAAACAACCUAAACACCUGAGAACUACGAACAAGAGUUUAAAACUCAAAGGACUUGGCGGUUUUCCAGACCUCCUUGGAGGAGCUUGCUAUCUAACCGAUAACCCACGAAAUACCUCACCAGCCUUUGCAAACCGCAGCCUGUAUACCAUCGUCGUCAGUCUACCCUUUAAAGACAGUAUACUGAAUGGAGUAAAUUGUUAUAUCUCCUCUACGUCAGAUCGAGGUGCAGCUCAUAAGCUGGGGAUAAGUGAGCUACAAUAACUAACUAACAGGCCCUCUAAACCAAGAUAUGGACAAGCCCAUGAAAACCGGGACUCAAAACAGGAUUCAGCAGUAACGCCUAACAGAGAAUAGGUGUGAAGCACACAGCUCUGGAAUGCGCACACAUCGCCCGUCACUCUCGUCCACAGAGGAGAAAAGUCGUAACAAAGUAGGCGUAUUGGAAAAUGCGCCUGGUACAA